rnacentral:rRNA from 1 species
AGAGUUUGAUCCUGGCUCAGAUUGAACGCUGGCGGCAUGCCUAACACAUGCAAGUCGAACGGUAACAGGCCGCAAGGUGCUGACGAGUGGCGGACGGGUGAGUAAUACGUAGGUAUCUGCCCUGUAGUGGGGGAUAACCCGGGGAAACUCGGGCUAAUACCGCAUACGCUCUUUUAUCGUUGAGAUAGGAGAGGGAAAGCGAGGGACCGAAAGGCCUCGCGCUAGAGGAUGAGCCUACGUCCGAUUAGCUAGUUGGUAGGGUAAAGGCCUACCAAGGCGACGAUCGGUAGCUGGUCUGAGAGGAUGGCCAGCCACACUGGGACUGAGACACGGCCCAGACUCCUACGGGAGGCAGCAGUGGGGAAUAUUGGACAAUGGGGGAAACCCUGAUCCAGCGAUGCCGCGUGGGUGAAGAAGGCCUGCGGGUUGUAAAGCCCUUUCAGUGGGGAAGAAAAACGGGGUGUGAACAGCGCUUCGUUUUGACGUUACCCACAGAAGAAGCACCGGCUAACUCCGUGCCAGCAGCCGCGGUAAUACGGAGGGUGCGAGCGUUAAUCGGAAUUACUGGGCGUAAAGGGCGCGUAGGCGGUUGGGUAAGUCGGAUGUGAAAGCCCUGGGCUUAACCUGGGAAUGGCAUUCGAGGCUACCUAUCUAGAGUCUGGUAGAGGGAAGUGGAAUUUCCGGUGUAGCGGUGAAAUGUGUAGAUAUCGGAAGGAACACCAGUGGCGAAGGCGACUUCCUGGACCAAGACUGACGCUGAAGCGCGAAAGCGUGGGGAUCAAACAGGAUUAGAUACCCUGGUAGUCC